rnacentral:rRNA from 1 species
UACGGGGGGGGGCAAGCGUUUGUUCGGAAUUACUGGGCGUAAAGGGCUCGUAGGCGGCCAACUAAGUCAGACGUGAAAUCCCUCGGCUUAACCGGGGAACUGCAUCUGAUACUGGAUGGCUUGAGUUCGGGAGAGGGAUGCGGAAUUCCAGGUGUAGCGGUGAAAUUCGUAGAUAUUCGCAAGAACACCAGUGGCGAAGGCGGCUCACUGGCCCGUAACUGACGCUGAGGCACGAAAGCGUGGGGAGCAAACAGG